rnacentral:rRNA from 1 species
UACAGAGGAGCCAAGCGUUGUCCGGAUUGACUGGGCGUAAAGCGCACGCAGGCGGAUGCGCGCGUGGGGUGUGAAAUCUGGCCGCUUAACGGCCAGGCGCCAUCCCAUACGGCGCGUCUGGAGUGAUGCAGAGGUCGGUGGAAUUGCCGGUGUAGCGGUGGAAUGCGUAGAGAUCCGGAAGAACACCGGUGGCGAAGGCGGUUAGCUGGGCAGUUGCUGACACUGAGGCGCGACAGCGUGGGGAGCAAACAGG